GUGGGGAAUCUUCCGCAAUGGACGAAAGUCUGACGGAGCGACGCCGCGUGAGUGAAGAAGGUCUUCGGAUCGUAAAACUCUGUUGUUAGAGAAGAACGUGCAUGAUAGUAACUGAUCAUGUAAUGACGGUAUCUAACCAGAAAGCCACGGCUAACUACGUGCCAGCAGCCGCGGUAAUACGUAGGUGGCAAGCGUUGUCCGGAUUUAUUGGGCGUAAAGGGAACGCAGGCGGUUUUUUAAGUCUGAUGUGAAAGCCUUCGGCUUAACCGAAGAAUAGCAUUGGAAACUGGAAGACUUGAGUGCAGAAGAGGAGAGUGGAAUUCCAUGUGUAGCGGUGAAAUGCGUAGAUAUAUGGAGGAACACCAGUGGCGAAGGCGACUUUCUGGACUGUAACUGACGCUGAGGCUCGAAAGCCAGGGGAGCGAACGGGAUUAGAUACCCUAGUAGUCC
rnacentral:rRNA from 1 species